GCCCCCGUGGCGUAACUGGACAACGCAGCAGCAUCCUAAGCUGAAGAUUACAGGUUCAACUCCUGUCGGGGGCG
rnacentral:tRNA from 1 species